rnacentral:rRNA from 1 species
AGAAUCAACGCUGGCGGCGUGCCUAACACAUGCAAGUCGAACGCGGUUACUACUGCUUCGCAAGAAGUAGUAGUGACUGAGUGGCGAACGGGUGAGUAACACGUGGGUGACCUGCCUUCGAGUGGGGGAUAACGUUCCGAAAGGGACGCUAAUACCGCAUGACAUCCUGCCUUUGAAGAGGUGGAUAUUAAAGCUGGGGAUCGUAAGACCUGGCGCUUGAAGAGGGGCCCGCGUCCGAUUAGCUAGUUGGUGGGGUAACGGCCUACCAAGGCGACGAU